GUCAAGCUCGUACCUUGAAAGAGCCAAAGAGAUCAUAACGCGUGUUAUCGACACGACACCGAUUCCAUAAGACAUUCGAGUAAAGAUAAUAAGAAGUGUACGGUAAAACACAUUCCUGCACAUCGAUUAACUUACGCUCUUGAAUGCAGCAUUGAUCGCCUUGUGCAUUAAUAUCACACCGUUCCUCAAACAAGAGGGAAAAAAAAAAGAUCUUGGCAACUCUCCACCUAUCAGUGUUUGGCACGCUCGCAGGAGAGGACGAUGGCUUAACUCGAUUUUCUAGAGGUGAUUGUGUGAUCAAUUAUGGAUGAGGAGGAGUAGAAUAUCCAGGGUGAGACAAGGAUACCUGCUCUCCAAUUGACUCCAACAACCCACCAAACAUAUCUGUUGUGCUAAGACGUAUGGCUCAAUGUGGAAGCAAAGAUCUGCUGCUACUUCCAUUUUAUCGCAACGUUAAAUGUACGGUACAUUUACACACAUUUACAUACAGUCCUGUAUACACAUUCAGUGUGUAAAAUAAGCAGUCAGUCACACUAUGCUUUGUGCAAAUUCAUAGUGCAAAAAUAAUAUGAGAGUGGCAUAAGUUUACAUAAGUCAAACAUUUUGUUUGUUUAUAACUUACUGUAAUGCAGUACGGACUACUAAGAGUUUAUUAUACAAAGCAGACAUGAUAUUCAGCAGAUAUGUUAAUUUAUCUGCUGAUACAAUGCAGAUAUCUGAGUGAUUCAACUAUUGAUUUUAUGUAUAUUCUGUUUAAUUUCGGAGACCUUGACCUUACUUGUCCACACAUAACGCUUUGCUUAGCAGUCAUUAAAACAUCACCGACACGACUUGAGCCUAAAGUGUCUGCACCUUUAAUUGUGUGAACUAGUGGAGAUCAAAUAGAGUUUAGUUCCAACCCUCCUCAUCCGAAAGUCCGAUUCCCCUUGUGUUUUCCUGAAAAUUCCAGGCAGGUGUGUUGGAGGAGGGUUGGAUGUGGCAGAACUGAGCGCUCCUGCUCUACUACAUGAUUCAGGCGGCACAGAAGGUGUCCUCUCAUCCAGAUGUCACACUUUUGAUGUAAGCGGAUUUGUGGGAGCCUGUAUGAACCCAAGGGCAGUCGGAGCGCCACUUGUCCUGCAUGCUUGGAAAUUGCAGUCAGGGUACCGCGCCACAGAUGAUCUGAGCUGGCAGUGAGCUCUACAGGAUGGAGGAAAUGAAGCAACGGCCAGAUAAACAGCACUUGGAUGAUAACGCGCGCACACACACACACACACACACACACACACCCCACACUCUCACAAUAUUUGCAAUGUCUGGAGCCUACAAGCUGUAUCACUUUCUUAUAACAAAGGCAAUACACUGUACCUGCGCAACCAGGAAACUGUAUCUUUAUCAAAUACUGGGUCAAACUAUAAUGAAAAACCAGACGACGUGACUAUAGUCUACAUUAUAAAUACAUUAUUAAUUUCAACCGACGUAUACAACAACAGGACAAGAAAAAACAUUAUGUGAACAAUUAAUUUUGUGACCUUCAGGAAAUUCUAUAUUAUUGUUUAUAGAUUAUUAUAAUUAGACAUUAUAUAAAUAAUAAAUAUAUAAAUUAAUUAAUAUAAAUGAUUAAUUAUUUAAAAAAACAGUUAAAAGAAUAUCUUAGUAUCUGAUUUGUCCAAUUAAUGUCUUAUUCUUUACAAGUUUCUUUACAUCUUAAAAAUAAAAUACAGAU